rnacentral:tRNA from 1 species
UGGAUUAAUGCCCUCUGGAUUGGGCAUUCAGCUGUUAACUGUUUGUUUGUGGGAUCGAGGCCCACUAAUCCUG